UACAGAGGGUGCGAGCGUUAAUCGGAAUUACUGGGCGUAAAGCGCGCGUAGGCGGCUUUGCAAGUCGAGUGUGAAAUCCCCAGGCUUAACCUGGGAACUGCAUUCGAGACUGCAUAGCUAGAGUAUGGGAGAGGGAAGUGGAAUUUCAGGUGUAGCGGUGAAAUGCGUAGAUAUCUGAAGGAACAUCAGUGGCGAAAGCGACUUCCUGGACCAAUACUGACGCUAAUGAGCGAAAGCCAGGGGAGCAAACGGG
rnacentral:rRNA from 1 species